GACGAACGCUGGCGGCGUGCUUAACACAUGCAAGUCGAACGGAAAGGCUCCAGCUUGCUGGGGUGCUCGAGUGGCGAACGGGUGAGUAACACGUAAGUGAUCUGCCCUGCACUGGGGGAUAAGCUUGGGAAACUGGGUCUAAUACCCUAUAGGACCGCAUCGUGGUUGGUGUGGUGGAAAGGUUUUUCUGGUGUGGGAUGAGCUUGCGGCCUAUCAGCUUGUUGGUGGGGUAAUGGCCUACCAAGGCGGCGACGGGUAGCCGGCCUGAGAGGGUGUGCGGCCACAUUGGGACUGAGAUACGGCCCAGACUCCUACGGGAGGCAGCAGUGGGGAAUUUUGCACAAUGGGCGGAAGCCUGAUGCAGCGACGCCGUGUGGGGGAUGAAGGCCUUCGGGUUGUAAACUCCUUUCGUCAAGGACGAAGUUUUUUUGACGGUACCUGGAUAAGAAGCACCGGCUAACUACGUGCCAGCCGCCGCGGUAA
rnacentral:rRNA from 1 species